rnacentral:lncRNA from 1 species
AACGUUUGACUCGCAAACUGCCUCCUGCUAUUCCUGAAGAUGAGACUUCGAGCCCUACUAUUACUAAAGGGAAUGGUAAUCCAGCUUGAUUCACUCACACUGUGGGCUAUUGCCAGAUCCUGGCCAGUACUUAUGCCAGUUCAUAGCAAUUCCACCGUCUUGCCAACCUUUUUCUCCACAUCCUGUUUGCGUGAUGUUCCUUGUAUAGUGCCAAAUGGAGAAUUGCCCCAAUGGUAUACUGCCACUAAUCUUUCUUUGUUACAUACAUUAUGUUUCACUCUUAAAAAUUACUCCCAGCCUUGUAUAUGGCUGUAUAUGUGCUUUCUUUUGUACCCAUGUAUGGGAUACUCGAGAAGACAGUGACUUAUAAGGAUGUACAUGUGAACUUCACUCAGGAAGAGUGGGCUUUGCUGGAUCCCUUCCAGAAGAAGCUCUACAAAGAUGUCAUGCUGGAGACAUACAGGAACCUCAAUGCUAUGGGUAAGAGUAUAAAUUCCCUUUCCUGUUUUAAAAUUGGAGAAAACCCUUCUAUCUUUUGAAGCACUUCUGUAAUUUCAAUUGAGAUGGGUAGAGAAUUUGGUGAGUAAAGCAUGCAUGACUUUAAGAUUCACUGAACAUUGUAACUUACAUUUACCAUAAUUUCCAUUCAUCGUUUUUCUCUUACUCUAUUUCAGGCUUUAAUUGGGAAGACCAAAAUAUUGAGGAACAUUGUCA